GCCUAAAAUCUAGCCCACAAAUUCGCAUGACCUCCUCCCCACCCAAAUAGCAAACAAAACAUUUUAACAUUUAAGUACAGGCGAUGGAAAAAUUUCUAAGCGCUUCAGAUAAAGUACCGCAAGGGAAAAAUGAAAUAGAAAUGAAAUAACUCUAAAGCCCUAAACAGCAGAGACAUUACCUCGUACCUUUUGCAUCAUGGUCUAGCUAGUCUACCCAAGCAUAAUGAAAUUUUAGUUUGACACCCCGAAACCAAGCGAGCUACUUCAGAACAGCCAAAAGGGCCAACCCGUCUCUGUUGCAAAAGAGUGGGAUGAUUCUCAAGUAGAGGUGAUAAGCCUACCGAGCUUGGAGAUAGCUGGUUGUUCAAGAAAAGAGUUUUAGCUCAACCUUAAGUCUCUUUAUUAAACUAAACAAACUUUUAGACUUAAGAGCUAUUCAAAUAAGGCACAGCUUAUUUGAAAUAGGACACAACCUACAACAUAGGGUAAAUGAGAGUGACCUAAAUAAAGUGGGCCUAAAAGCAGCCACCUUCAGAAAAGCGUUAAAGCUUAACUACCUUCACUCAUAAUGCCUAAAAUCUCCACUAACCCUUCAUUACUACUGAACAAUUUUAUACUCAUAUAAAAGCUAUCAUGCUAGAACUAGUAACAAGAAACUGCUUUUCUCCUAAAUGUAAACAUAAACCAAAAUAGACCAUCUAUUGGUUAUUAACGUAAAUGCUAAACUGUAGCAACACUCACUAGAAAAUCCUAUAAACCCCAACGUUAACCUUACACCAGAACAUUACAGGAAAGAUUAAAAGAAAAAGAAGGAACUCGGCAAAUUUUAGCCUCGCCUGUUUACCAAAAACAUCGCCUCUUG
rnacentral:rRNA from 1 species